AACGUGUCGUUGCCAGUGCCGCCCUGCAACACGUCAUCCCCGUCGCCCGCAUGGAUACGAUCAUCCCCCGCACCGCCGUCCAGCGUGUCAGCUCCUGCGCCGUCGCCCAAGUAAUCGUUGCCCUCGAGGCCCUGGAUCACGUUGGCUUCCGCGCCGCCGUACAUGUAAUCGUUCCCAGUGGUGCCUGUCAGCGUAUUGAUAAGAUUGGUUCGGCUUCCGAUAUUCCAAACAGUGCCGUCGGUAAAUUGCAAUUGCUCGAUUUUGUUAGUGUCCGCUGCAAACCAGUUCUUGACCGUCACGGUCUCGGUGGUUC
rnacentral:misc_RNA from 1 species